CAAUAGCGUAUAUUAAAGCUGUUGCGGUUAAAAAGCUCGUAGUUGGAUUUCUGUCAAGGACAACUGGUCCGCCCCUCGGGUGAGCACAUAGUUUGGUCUUGGCAUCUUGUUGGAAACUGUUGCUGCACUUGGUUGUGUGGCGCAGUGUCCAGCACUUCCACUUUGAGGAAAUUGGAGUGUUUCAAGCAGGCACAUGCCUUUGGACACAGUAGCAUGGAAUAAUUAGAUUGGGCUUUUGCUCCAACUUGUCGGUUUCUGGAGCUGAGGUGAGAAUUAAUGGGGAUUGUUGGGGGCAUCCGAAUUUAGCCGUCAGAGGUGAAAUUCUUGGAUCUGCUAAAGACGGACAACUGCGAAAGCGUUUGCCCAGGAUGUUUUCAUUGA
rnacentral:rRNA from 1 species